rnacentral:rRNA from 1 species
GAUGAACGCUGACAGAAUGCUUAACACAUGCAAGUCAACUUGAACUUCGGUUUGGGUGGCGGACGGGUGAGUAACGCGUAAAGAACUUGCCUCACAGAUAGGGACAACAUUUGGAAACGAAUGCUAAUACCUGAUAUUAUGAUUUUAGGGCAUCCUAGGAUUAUGAAAGCUAUAUGCGCUGUGAGAGAGCUUUGCGUCCCAUUAGCUAGUUGGAGAGGUAACGGCUCACGAAGGCGAUGAUGGGUAGCCGGCCUGGGAGGGUGAUCGGCCACAAGGGCCCGGGGAAGGGGCCCUUACUCCUACGGGGGGAAGCAGUGGGAAAUAUUGGCAAAUGGACCAAGAGUAUGAUCAAGCAAUUCUGUGUGUACGAUGAAGUUUUUCGGAAUGAAAAGCGCUUUCAGUUGGGAAGAAAAAAAUGACGGUACCGACAGAAGAAGUGACGGCUAAAUACGUG